rnacentral:rRNA from 1 species
UGGGGGAUAUUGCACAAUGGGCGAAAGCCUGAUGCAGCGACGCCGAGUGGGGGAUGAAGGCUUUCGGGUUGUAAACCUCUUUCGCUAUCGAACAAGGCCCGCUUAGGGUGGGUUGAGGGUAGGUGGAGAAGAAGCGCCGGCUAACUACGUGCCAGCAGCCGCGGUAAUACGUAGGGCGCGAGCGUUGUCCGGAAUUAUUGGGCGUAAAGGGCUUGUAGGCGGCUUGUUGCGCCUGCUGUGAAAACGCGGGGCUUAACUUCGCGCGUGCAGUGGGUACGGGCAGGCUUGAGUGUGGUAGGGGUGACUGGAAUUCCAGGUGUAGCGGUGGAAUGCGCAGAUAUCUGGAGGAACACCGAUGGCGAAGGCAGGUCACUGGGCCAUUACUGACGCUGAGGAGCGAAAGCAUGGGUAGCGAACAGG